UACGGAGGGGGCUAGCGUUGUUCGGAAUUACUGGGCGUAAAGGGCACGUAGGCGGCUUUGUAAGUUAGAGGUGAAAGCCCAGGGCUUAACCCUGGAAUUGCCUUUAAGACUGCAUCGCUAGAAUCGUGGAGAGGUGAGUGGAAUUCCGAGUGUAGAGGUGAAAUUCGUAGAUAUUCGGAAGAACACCAGUGGCGAAGGCGACUCACUGGACACGUAUUGACGCUGAGGUGCGAAAGCGUGGGGAGCAAACAGG
rnacentral:rRNA from 1 species